rnacentral:rRNA from 1 species
GCCGCGGUAAUUCCAGCUCCAAUAGCGUAUAUUAACGUUGUUGCAGUUAAAAAGCUCGUAGUUGAAAUGAAGGGUAGUUGUGUAAUGAAUACAUUCGUGUAUUUUGUUAUUCUACUACCCUCCUUCUAAAUUCGAUAUAUGAGUAUUAAUUUACUUGUAUAUGGUUUUAGACCUUUACUGUGAGAAAAUUAGAGUGUUCAAAGCAGGCAUUUGCUUGAAUAUAUUAGCAUGGAAUAAUCAUGUAUGAUUUUCAUGAUGUAUUUGAUUGGUUUGGUUCAUGAGAAUAAGAUUAAAAGGGACAGUUGGGGGUAUUCAUAUUCAAUAGUCAGAGGUGAAAUUCUCGGAUUUAUGGAAGAUGAACAAGUGCGAAAGCAUUUACCAAGGAUGUUUUCAUUAAUCAAGAACGAAAG